CUGCUAUGUGAGCAGCGUCAUGGACCCCUGCUGGAGCCGGAGGAGAUCUUCACAUGACUCAGGAGGCGGUGACGCUCCUGAAAUCAAAACUGGAACAGAGAAAAGUCCAAGAACAAAUUGUUGUGUCGAACAUCUGGAACCUCUGGAACAUCUGGAACCUCUGGAACAUCUGGAGCAUCUGAAACAGCUGGAGCAUCUGGAGCAUCUGGAACAUCUGUAUUCAGCCUCCUCUCAUUCACCUACCUCAGGACGUCGGCCGCCCUCAGACGUCCUGUGGACCGCUGCCUGGCGUCUGUCAGAGGACGGCGUUGUUCAAAGUUCAGUCCUGAUACCGAAUGAGGGCGGGUUAAAGUCCUUCCACUGACCUCAGAUUGUAAAGAUGGAGGACGUGACAGCUCCCAAAGUGAAGCAGCACCUUUACAUAACCCUCCUCCUCCAUGUUAGCAGACAGGACACGGACCAAACUCAAAGUAGACGUUAAAUAAAUGUUUAAAGAUGGUUUCUGUCCUUUC